rnacentral:rRNA from 1 species
UACGUAGGGGGCUAGCGUUGCUCGGAAUCACUGGGCGUAAAGCGCGCGCAGGCGGCUUUUUAAGUCAGGUGUGAAAUCCUGGAGCUCAACUCCAGAACUGCCUUUGAUACUGGGAAGCUUGAGUCCGGGAGAGGUGAGUGGAACUCCGAGUGUAGAGGUGAAAUUCGUAGAUAUUCGGAAGAACACCAGUGGCGAAGGCGGCUCACUGGGCCGGUACUGACGCUGAGGUGCGAAAGCGUGGGGAGCAAACAGG